rnacentral:rRNA from 1 species
CACACUAUCCAAUCAACUUUGUGACACCAUCCAUCAUGCUCCCAGGUGCAUUGAUGCUGGAUAUCACCCUGUAUCUGACACGUAACUGGUUGGUUACCGCGUUGGUUGGUGGUGGAUUCUUUGGUUUAUUCUUCUAUCCGGGCAACUGGGUAAUUUUUGGACCAACCCACUUGCCAGUCGUUGUUGAAGGUGUAUUGCUGUCAAUGGCUGAUUACAUGGGACACCUCUACAUCCGUACAGGUACACCGGAAUAUGUACGCUUGAUUGAGCAAGGUUCAUUGCGUACCUUUGGUGGUCAUACCACAGUGAUUGCUGCAUUCUUUGCAGCGUUCGUAUCCAUGCUGAUGUUCGUUGUUUGGUGGUACCUAGGCAAAGUUUACUGUACAGCCUUCUUCUACGUUAAAGGUAAGAGAGGCCGUAUUGUGAAAAGAGACGACGUUACAGCGUUUGGU